rnacentral:lncRNA from 1 species
GUUUUUUUACAUAAUGAUAAAGGUGUUUUUCCAUUAAAUAUUCAUGGUUCAUAAUGGAUCCACUUUGAAUUUUCCUUGUUCAGUUAAUCAACAAAUGUAGUCUUACAUAAUCAGAAUACAUAUGGUCUAGACAAGGCAUACUAAUACUAUACACAUUUAUUUAUUAACAGUGCAAUAUAUUUAGCCUUUUAAGCAGUGAUUUAGAAGUCCCCUAUCAUUUGUUUCAUUUCAACAGAGGAUUUAUUUGAAGAAAAAAAAUAAUUCUGUUUUGGUAUGAAGAAAACCUUCAAAAAAUUUGAGAAGACUUUUGGUUCCAAAUGGAUCAUAAAUAUACCUGACAAAGGUUAUUACACUUUACUUUAUUGUUAUCAUCAUAGAAUAAUUACAUUAUAUGUAUGUUUCAUUAUAAUACUGUAGUCUGAUUGGCUAAUUGCCAUCACAUGUUAUUCCUUCAGCAAUUGCAUCACUCAAUAGAACUUAUCAUCCAUGAUAACACAUGGUCCCACAAUAAAGUGCACAGCUGAAUUAAAUAAAAAAAAUUAUACAAUUCGUUUUUCCAUGAUCAUAGCUAAAAAAUGUAAUUAUAAGUAUUGAAUGCUUCUUUUUGUAACUUCAUAGGGUUGUGAAAGCGUUGACCGUGCGCACAUUUUUAGAAUGAAGCGCUUCAGCGCUUCAUACAAAAUGUACUUCGGUCAACGCUUUUACACCCCAAUGAAGUUACAAAAAGAAGCAUUCAAUUCUUAAAUAAACUUUUACUGUGAAUCAGAAUGUAAUGUAUGAUCAUUUUGUAGAUUUGUCAUUAAACGUCAUCAUCAGUUUUUCCAUUAUCUGUUUGUUUUAACUGAUUAGCUGCCUAUUUCAGUGAGAGAAAAAAAAACAGCAACAAAUUAUAUAAAAUCCAUAAAACAUAUGUAAAUUUAUAUAUCUUUGUCAGUAUUCUUGCUAGAAUUUAAUGGCAAAGGUGCACACUUUAGAUUAAAGGUACAGUAGGGUUUUUUUUGUGUGAAAAAAACGACAAACUGAAUCAUGGUUGUCAACAGCAAAAUUAAAAUAAGAC